CCUCAAUGCAUCUUGUUGACACCAUGGCUAUCCUUUCCCCAUUUGAACAUGCUAGGGUGUUGUGCGGCGCAAAUACUCUGUUGCUGUACCAAAAGCACUUGUACACAUUGAUACGAACCCCAAACUAAUCCGGUACAAUAUAGUCAUCUUUGGUGGUAUUGAUGGAUUUUCCAGAAAGAUCAUGUACCUAGGUGCUGCAAAUAAUAACUUGUCAUCUACAGCCUUGGCCUUCUUCAAGCAGUCC